GCCGGAGCGGCGGGAGCGGCCCCGGGCCCGGGCGGAGGUGGGAGCGGAGCGGAGCGGAGCGGGGCAUCGCAUCUCCUCGGUCUGCGGCCGCGCUGUACUGCUCCCAUGCUCUGAUACAGCCCCGCCAGCCGCCCCCCUAUGGUCCUGC